CCAGUAUCUUCACUCUAGCUUUAAAACUGAGCCCGCUAAAAAUGCAACUUCUGAAUUAUGUUUUUAAAGUAAACCUAAUUGAAGAAAGGUAAAAAUGGUGACAUUGUGUUUGAGUUUUUCAUAUUUGAUCUUUGCAGAUAAAAGGAAAAUUAUCAGCAUGGAUGCCAUAGUUUUG